ensembl:snRNA
ACCAUCCUUUUGUUGGGGUUGCGCUCCUGUCCAAUGAGCACAUAGUGAGGGCCGUACUGCUAGUGCCUAAACCACACACUUGCAUCAACUAGAGCUUUGCUCUACCUUGGUACAAUUUUUGGAAAA